GGUUAAGCGAACAAGCGUACACGGUGGAUGCCCUGGCAGUCAGAGGCGAUGAAGGACGUGCUAAUCUGCGAAAAGCGCCGGUAAGGUGAUAUGAACCGUUAUAACCGGCGAUGUCCGAAUGGGGAAACCCGGUGCACUUCGGUGCAUCAUCGUUAGCUGAAUACAUAGGCUAACGAGGCGAACCGGGGGAACUGAAACAUCUAAGUACCCCGAGGAAAAGAAAUCAACCGAGAUUCCCCCAGUAGCGGCGAGCGAACGGGGAACAGCCCAGAGCCUGAAUCAGCUUGUGUGUCAGUGGAACGGUCUGGAAAGGCCGGCGAUACAGGGUGACAGCCCCGUACACGAAGGCACACAGGCUGUGAGCUCGAUGAGUAGGGCGGGACACGUGAUAUCCUGUCUGAAGAUGGGGGGACCAUCCUCCAAGGCUAAAUACUCCUGACUGACCGAUAGUGAACCAGUACCGUGAGGGAAAGGCGAAAAGAACCCCGGCGAGGGGAGUGAAACAGAACCUGAAACCGUGUACGUACAAGCAGUGGGAGCCUUCGUAAGAGGGUGACUGCGUACCUUUUGUAUAAUGGGUCAGCGACUUAUAUUCUGUAGCAAGGUUAACCGUAUAGGGGAGCCGAAGGGAAACCGAGUCUUAACCGGGCGUUAAGUUGCAGGGUAUAGACCCGAAACCCGGUGAUCUAGCCAUGGGCAGGUUGAAGGUUGGGUAACACUAACUGGAGGACCGAACCGACUAAUGUUGAAAAAUUAGCGGAUGACCUGUGGCUGGGGGUGAAAGGCCAAUCAAACCGGGAGAUAGCUGGUUCUCCCCGAAAGCUAUUUAGGUAGCGCCUCGUGAACUCAUCUCCGGGGGUAGAGCACUGUUUCGGCUAGGGGGCCAUCCCGGCUUACCAACCCGAUGCAAACUGCGAAUACCGGAGAAUGUUAUCACGGGAGACACACGGCGGGUGCUAACGUCCGUCGUGAAGAGGGAAACAACCCAGACCGCCAGCUAAGGUCCCAAAGUCAUGGUUAAGUGGGAAACGAUGUGGGAAGGCCCAGACAGCCAGGAUGUUGGCUUAGAAGCAGCCAUCAUUUAAAGAAAGCGUAAUAGCUCACUGGUCGAGUCGGCCUGCGCGGAAGAUGUAACGGGGCUAAACCAUGCACCGAAGCUGCGGCAGCGACGCUUAUGCGUUGUUGGGUAGGGGAGCGUUCUGUAAGCCUGCGAAGGUGUGCUGUGAGGCAUGCUGGAGGUAUCAGAAGUGCGAAUGCUGACAUAAGUAACGAUAAAGCGGGUGAAAAGCCCGCUCGCCGGAAGACCAAGGGUUCCUGUCCAACGUUAAUCGGGGCAGGGUGAGUCGACCCCUAAGGCGAGGCCGAAAGGCGUAGUCGAUGGGAAACAGGUUAAUAUUCCUGUACUUGGUGUUACUGCGAAGGGGGGACGGAGAAGGCUAUGUCGGCCGGGCGACGGUUGUCCCGGUUUAAGCGUGUAGGCUGACUUUCCAGGCAAAUCCGGAAAGUUAAGGCUGAGGCGUGAUGACGAGGCACCACGGUGCUGAAGUGACAAAUGCCCUGCUUCCAGGAAAAGCCUCUAAGCAUCAGGUAACAUCAAAUCGUACCCCAAACCGACACAGGUGGUCAGGUAGAGAAUACCAAGGCGCUUGAGAGAACUCGGGUGAAGGAACUAGGCAAAAUGGUGCCGUAACUUCGGGAGAAGGCACGCUGACAUGUAGGUGAAGCCCCUGCGGGUGGAGCUGAAGUCAGUCGAAGAUACCAGCUGGCUGCAACUGUUUAUUAAAAACACAGCACUGUGCAAACACGAAAGUGGACGUAUACGGUGUGACGCCUGCCCGGUGCCGGAAGGUUAAUUGAUGGGGUUAUCGCAAGAGAAGCUCCUGAUCGAAGCCCCGGUAAACGGCGGCCGUAACUAUAACGGUCCUAAGGUAGCGAAAUUCCUUGUCGGGUAAGUUCCGACCUGCACGAAUGGCGUAAUGAUGGCCAGGCUGUCUCCACCCGAGACUCAGUGAAAUUGAACUCGCUGUGAAGAUGCAGUGUACCCGCGGCAAGACGGAAAGACCCCGUGAACCUUUACUACAGCUUGACACUGAACAUUGAGCCUUGAUGUGUAGGAUAGGUGGGAGGCUUUGAAGCGUGGACGCCAGUCUGCGUGGAGCCGACCUUGAAAUACCACCCUUUAAUGUUUGAUGUUCUAACCUGGCGCCAUAAUCUGGCGUGGGGACAGUGUCUGGUGGGUAGUUUGACUGGGGCGGUCUCCUCCCAAAGUGUAACGGAGGAGCACGAAGGUCAGCUAAUCCUGGUCGGACAUCAGGAGGUUAGUGCAAUGGCAUAAGCUGGCUUGACUGCGAGAGUGACGGCUCGAGCAGGUGCGAAAGCAGGUCAUAGUGAUCCGGUGGUUCUGUAUGGAAGGGCCAUCGCUCAACGGAUAAAAGGUACUCCGGGGAUAACAGGCUGAUACCGCCCAAGAGUUCAUAUCGACGGCGGUGUUUGGCACCUCGAUGUCGGCUCAUCACAUCCUGGGGCUGAAGUAGGUCCCAAGGGUAUGGCUGUUCGCCAUUUAAAGUGGUACGCGAGCUGGGUUUAGAACGUCGUGAGACAGUUCGGUCCCUAUCUGCCGUGGGCGCUGGAGAAUUGAGGGGGGCUGCUCCCAGUACGAGAGGACCGGAGUGGACGCAUCACUGGUGUUCGGGUUGUCAUGCCAAUGGCACUGCCCGGUAGCUAAAUGCGGAAGAGAUAAGUGCUGAAAGCAUCUAAGCACGAAACUUGCCCCGAGAUGAGUUCUCCCUGAGACUGUAAGUCUCCUGAAGGAACGUUGAAGACGACGACGUUGAUAGGCCGGGUGUGUAAGCGCAGCGAUGCGUUGAGCUAACCGGUACUAAUGAACCGUGAGGCUUAACCUU
rnacentral:rRNA from 1 species